rnacentral:lncRNA from 1 species
CAGAAGAGGAGGCCGCAGAAGCGCGCGGCUCUGCGGACCCAGAUGGAGCCAGCAGCGGCCGCAGCCCGAGGGGCUGAGCAGGCCUCCCAGAGGGCGAGGGAGUUCAAGGGCCUGGGGGCCCACACAGUGCAGUCAGGCCCACGUGCCUUGUCCCAGAGCUUUGCAGACAAGAACCUGCUACCCCUGACACCCCGGCAGCUGGCAGGUAAGGGCUCAGGACUGGAAGCUGGGAGGAAAACCAGGGGGUGCUCAGAGCAGAAUGCAACCGACUUGGCUGCCCAGGGGCUGGGAAGGCUGUGAGAAGCCAAGCCAGUGAUUGUAUUGGAACCUUCUCUCCCUGCCAGUCAAACUUGCUCAUCUCUGCUACCCCAGGGUUCACUGCUGGGGGUGGGUGGGGGAGUGUGAAGAAGGGAUGGAUGGAUGGAUUGGUGGAUAGAAAGCAUUUAGAGGAGUUCCUGUCGUGGCUCAGUGAUUAACGAAUCUGACUAGGAACGAUGAGGUUAUGGGUUCGAUCCCUGUCCUUGCUCAGUGGGUCAAGGAUCCGGUAUUGCUGUGGGCUGUGGUGUAGGUUGCAGAUGUGGCUCAGAUCCAGCGCUGCUAUGGCUCUGGCAUAGGCUUGGCGGCUACAGCUCCGAUUAGACCCCUAGCCUGGGUGUGGCCCUAGAAAAGGCAAAAAGACAAAAAAAAAAAAAGAAAGAAAGAAACAAAGAAAGUAUUUAGAUAGUGGAUGGAUGGAUGGUGGAUGAAUGAACAGAAUGGAAGGAAGAAGGGAAACUGGGAGAAAGGAUGGAAAAAAAGAAUCUGAGGUCCCCACGCUGCUGGGGUUUGGGGCUGUGGGGGCUGUGAGUAGGGGUGGAAGGAAUCCCAAUGCCCUUGCCAAGAUCGUGCCCUGAUAUUGGCAGGGACCCCUCAAAGCAGAAUCAUUCUAUUCAUCAUCAGUGAUUUUCAGUACCUGCUAUGUGCCAGGCGCCAGCAGCGCUCAAGGAGCCCUCAGGCACUGUCUCCAGGGCCAGACUGCUGGCGUCCAAAGCCCAGCAUUACCCCUACUGGAGACAUGACCUUGGACAUGAGUUUUUAAUGUUUUUCAUAUAAACAUGUCCAAACGUGAGUUUUCAACACGAGAAUUGAAUGGACACGUAACAAGUGCCAACACACAGCAGCCACUGUUUUCUUUACAUUGUUAUAAUACCCAGGGGGUUGGUGGAUUCCAGUCUUGUCUCAUCCGGGCCACAGUGGGCGAAUCUCAGUGUUCCUGUGUGUGCUCUUUACCUGCUGCCUUUCCCCCUCCCGGCCCCUAGCGUUCCAGGAUGUCUUCAAACUGUUCAGCUCCAGCCCAGCAGGCACCGUGGACAUGCACAGCAUGAAAGCUGCCCUGUGCAAUGCGGGUGUCCAGCUGAGCCCACAGGAGAUGUGUGAGGCUCUGGGGCAGGCAGACUUGGAUGGUGGGUGUCCCCAUCCCUGCCCUCUUGUCCCUUCCCACCUCUAGCCCUGAAGAAUGCCUCCCUUGCCCACAAAAUCCCUGGCCUGGUCCUUUUUUUUUUUUUUUUUUUUUUUUUUUUUGGCCAGGUUGUGGCAUGCAGAAGUUCCCAGGUCAGGGAUGGAACCCAACCCAUGCCACAGCAGUGACAAGGCUGGAUUCUUAACUGCUGGGCCACCAGGGAACUCCUGCCUGAUCCUAUUUUUAAAGUUUGCUCUUCCAGGAAGCCUGCCCUGAUCAACACGCCUGUCCCCUAGCCCCUAAACAUUCCUGCUGGCAUAAUCCUCAUCCUGACUUGGGGCUCCCCCAGGGCAAGGGCUAUUUCUC